rnacentral:rRNA from 1 species
UACGAAGGGUGCUAGCGUUGCUCGGAAUCACUGGGCGUAAAGGGUGCGUAGGCGGCGCGGUAAGUCGGGUGUGAAAUCUCGGGGCUUAACUCCGAAACUGCAUUCGAUACUGCCGUGCUUGAGGACUGGAGAGGAGACUGGAAUUUACGGUGUAGCGGUGAAAUGCGUAGAUAUCGUAAGGAAGACCAGUGGCGAAGGCGGGUCUCUGGACAGUUCCUGACGCUGAGGCACGAAGGCCAGGGGAGCAAACGGG